rnacentral:rRNA from 1 species
CCUACGGGUGGCAGCAGUAGGGAAUCUUCCACAAUGGACGAAAGUCUGAUGGAGCAACGCCGCGUGAGUGAAGAAGGGUUUCGGCUCGUAAAGCUCUGUUGGUAGUGAAGAAAGAUAGAGGUAGUAACUGGCCUUUAUUUGACGGUAAUUACUUAGAAAGUCACGGCAAACUACGUGCCAGCAGCCGCGGUAAUACGUAGGUGGCAAGCGUUGCACGGUUUUAUUGGGGGUAAAGCAAGUGCAGGCGGUUCAAAAGGUCUACUGGAAAAGCCUUCGGUUAAACGGGGAAGUGCAUCAGAAACUGUUGAACUUGAGUGCAGAAGAGGAGAGUGGAACUCCAUGUGUAGCGGUGGAAUGCGUAGAUAUAUGGAAGAACACCAGUGGCGAAGGCGGCUCUCUGGUCUGCAACUGACGCUGAGGCUCGAAAGCAUGGGUAGCGAACAGGAUUAGAUACCCGAGUAGUC